CAAAACUGCUCUGAGCAACCUGCUUCAAUGCUUGGCUGUCCUCAUGGUGAAAAACCUUUUCUUGGUAUUAAGUCAAAACAUCUCAUUUUAAUUAAUUAUUUAUGUUGCUGCUAAUCCUCCUGCUGCAGACUCCAGUAAAGAACCUGGCUCUGCUUAACAUCUUUUAAGUAUUAGCCUUAUUUAACAGCAGGACACACCAAAGGCACACUAAAAAUUAUAUUCUACUAGGCUGAUUGGAGAUCAAAGCACUGCAAAAGCCUCUUCCCAAAGUCUCUUAUGACCACAUUGCAAAGACCACAACCCCAGAGAUUACACGAGACUAAAAAAACCCUGCCAUUUCUGAGGAUGAGAAAGGCAGCAUUUCACCACAGCAAGAUCAAAAUUUUAGCCAAAUAGUUCUCCAGGUGCAAAGAACGAGGUGCUCAAACAGAUGAGCAACCCUAAACUGUUCAAAAGUUGGACCAAGGCUAGACAAGCUUCUCAGCUCUCCUAAAUAAGCAAGGCCUGUCGCUUAGAUUGGACUAACAAAAAAGCAAACAAAAGGCCUGAUUACAGACCUCUCUAAAGACUAUAUUUGCAAGUAAAAUGCAGUAUCUGAAAAUAUAAGCAAGUACUUUCCCUGUCAGAGACUGAUGACUGAUCACCCUUCCAACUCAAUCAACAUGCAGCAUGGCUGAUCUGCACAAGGAAGGAGCCUGAUUUGUAGCAGUGAUCUGGACAUUUUCAGUUCAUUUCAGGUAAUACUUGAAAGUCUAAAUGUACCAGAGGCAUACCGAAUCUGACAACACUUCCAACAAGAGGUUUCCAAGACAUAGGAUAUAUUUCACGUGAGGAUAAAACGAGAGAAAAUACCAAGGAAAUUGCCUUUACAAUUAAAAAAAGAUGACAUUUGGCUGUUUCCAAGAUGACAGCAAUUUUGAAGCUACAAAAACUAUUAUGAAAUGUAGCAGUUCCCCAGUGGAACGAGACAAACUCCCACAUCUCAGUCAUCAGCAUAAGAGGAAAACUGAAGUGACUUCUUAAACAGACUGGCAUUAACACUGAAAAUUAGUUUCCUCUAUUCUAAGUUUUAGUGGUAUAAUACUAUUCUAAAAGAGUAUUAAAAUACAGGGGGCAGCUUUUUUUAUUCUUUUAUGGGGAAUGGGGGACCAAAUCCCAAAGCAACUCAGUAAAGACAGGAAGAGAGGAUGGACAAGUAGUACAGACCAGAGCUUAAGAGGCCACACUUAUGGUUUUGUUUUGGGGUUUGUUUGUUUGUUUUUAAAAAGCUAAACAAAACAAGAGAGAAAGAACACAAAUAUAUUAGGUCAUUAAACGGACACUGAGUUGCAGGUAACAGCAGAUUCAAGUCUUCUUCAUAUCACUCUUUUAGCUACCACCUUUCUUAUGUUGUGAGUUGCAAAGGGUGUUAACUCUCCUAGUGCUUGCACGACACUGGUUGAAGGUCACUGAUGUGGAGGGUGUCAUUAAGUGGGAUGCAGAAUAGCAUUGCUAAUAUUACUUCCAGCUGAAAGAUUUCAAAAGGAAGCAAUGGAUGGCCUUUUCCACAGGCUUUCAUUUAUCUUUUUUGCUGGUAGCUGGAGUUACAAAACUUACUUUUUGUUUUGCUUUUAGGUGAAGCAAUACACAAAAGGUUGUUCCACUUGUUUUUCCACCCUCAAAUGCACUGAAACCUAUUUCAAGGUGUUCUGUAACUCAGUAGCCUCCAUAAUGACACUCCAUAAGGAUGUUUCAUUUGGUACCCUUCGUCAAAAAAUCCCUGCAGUCCGAUGAUUAGCAGCCCUGGAGGUCCCUUCACCUCUCACACAACUGAGCUGCAUGAAGCAGAAAAUUCUGAAGAAAAAUCUCAAAAUCUGCUAUUAGCAUCUAAGCAAGAGUUGGUGAGUGAAGCUCAGCAGUAGCUCAUUGCUUAGACUUUCAGAUGUGAUUUUUUUUCCUGACACAAAAUUGACACCUCUCUCACUUUACCAAGAAAAACAGUUACCUGGACCUCCAUGUCACAUUUUGUACAGAUGAGUGAACAAGCUAUAUGUUUUGGAAAGAUAAUAUCACUGCCAUUACUACUACUACUACUGCUAACAACCCUUCUUUUCCUCUAAUGACAUUCACAUCCCAACUUCAGGGUGGGAGAGCCCUUGAAAAGAUGAGGCACUUCAAGAUACGAUACCUAUUCUUCUUCACAUUGCAUGACUAUUCUUCAUAUUACUGUCACCAUUCUAUUUCAUAACAAUCACCAUGAAAAAUCACCAGUGUUUAGAAGGAAAUAAACCUCCCAUUGUACACAUUAA